ensembl:lncRNA
CACUUUCUUGCACAGGACAUAAGGAAUUUACUAAUGUUCCCUUUCUUUCUCAGGAAUCUAUAUACCAGCUGGUGCAGGGGGAGGAACUGGAGCUGGAUUAGGGGGUGGUCUUGGAACUGGAGCUGGACUUGGUGCUGAAACAGGUCCAGGAGGUGGAUUUGGUGCUAGUAUCAGAAGUGUUGGGCCAGGAGUUAGUUCUGGAGGAGUUGGAACAAGAUUAGGUCCAGGUGCUGGUCCUGGUGGUCUUGGAAUAGGACCAGGAACUGGCAUAAGACCUGGAACUGGUGAGAGUUUACAUUUAUUCUUAAACAUUUCAUGUGUAAUUAGUGUCCUUAGCUUCCAUAUCAGUUCUAUAACAAUCCUUAAUAAAUUAGCAACUAAUAAAAAAUAUUGUAUUGUCGGUGAAAUACCUGCUUUCAAACCAGGAAAGACAGGAGGUAAGUGGCUAAAUGUCUCUUAAUUAUUAAUUUUAAGUUUGAUUAAAUUAAUAUUUACUUGUCCAACUUGGAACAGGUUAUGAAGGUGGUGGUCCUGGGGGGCAAGGUAUUAGACUGGGUGAUGGAGGCCUUGGAGGAGUUUGGCCUGGUGCUGGAGGUCUUGGAGGAAUUGGACCUGGUGGUGGAGGGCUUGGUACAGGGGGACUUGGUACUGGUGGAUUAGGCACCGGAGGCCUUGGAACAGGGUCAAUCAUCAAGCCACCUAAAACAGGAGGAUAUGGAGGUCUACCAGGAAUUGGACCAGGUGGUACAGGUGUUGGUCCUGGAUCACUUGCACCUGGAGGAGUUGGUCCUUUUGGCAUUGGUCCAGGAGGCAUUGGACCGGGAGGAAUAGGACCUGGUGGCAUUGGACCAGGAAGUGUCGGUCCUGGAGGGAUUGGUGCUGGAGGCCUUGGAGCAGGUAAUAUUUCACAUAAUGUAAUAUUACUAAUAAACAAUCAAACUUAUCUGAACUGUUCCCUAUAAGGUUCUGCUAGUCUUUGCUAGGGAUUGUAGAAUAAAUACUGGAAACUUCACUUUUGUUGGUAGGGU